rnacentral:rRNA from 1 species
CGGCGCGCUUAUACAUGCAAGUCGAGCGAUGAGGCACCUUCGGGUGUACAUCAGCGGCAGACGGGUGAGUAACACGUGGGUGACCUACCCUAAAGACGGGGAUAACCCGCGGAAACGGGGGCUAAUACCGGAUAGCUACAGCGUACGGGGGUAUGUUGUAGAAAGCUACGGCGCUUUAGGAGGGGCCUGCGGCCCAUCAGCUAGUUGGUAGGGUAACGGCCUACCAAGGCAAAGACGGGUAGGGGGUGUGAGAGCACGGCCCCCACAAUGGGACUGGAACACGGCCCAUACUCCUACGGGAGGCAGCAGCAGGGAAUAUUGCGCAAUGGGCGAAAGCCCGACGCAGCGACGCCGCGUGAGUGAAGACGGCUUUCGAGUUGUAAAACUCUUUUCUGGGGGAAGAGGAAGGACGGUACCCGAGGAAUAAGCGUCGGCUAACUACGUGCCAGCAGCCGCGGUAAGACGUAGGACGCGAGCGUUAUCCGGAUUUACUGGGCGUAAAGCGCCUGCAGGCGGCUCUGUAAGUUGGGCGUGAAAGCCCCGUGCUUAACGCGGGGAAGCCGUUCAAUACUGCGGAGCUAGAGUACGGCAGAGGGGAGUGGAAUUCCUGGAGUAGCGGUAAAAUGCGCAGAUAUCAGGAGGAACACCAGUGGCGAAGGCGGCUCCCUGGGCCGAGACUGACGCUCAGAGGCGAAAGCUAGGGGAGCGAACAGGAUUAGAGACCCUGGUAGUCCUAGCCCUAAACGAUGGAUGCUAGGUGUGGGGACGAGGAGUUUCCGUGCCGGAGCAAACGCGAUAAGCAUCCCGCCUGGGGACUACGGCCGCAAGGUUAAAACUCAAACGAAUUGACGGGGGCCCGCACAAGCAGCGGAGCGUGUGGUUUAAUUCGAUGCUACACGAAGAACCUUACCUGGGUUUGACAUGUAGGUGGUAGCGAGGCGAAAGCUGAGCGACCCUUCGGGGAGCCUACACAGGUGCUGCAUGGCUGUCGUCAGCUCGUGCCGUGAGGUGUCGGGUUAAGUCCCGUAACGAGCGCAACCCUUGCUCCUAGUUAUACGUGUCUAGGGGGACUGCCGGCGGGAAGCCGGAGGAAGGUGGGGAUGACGUCAAGUCAGCAUGGCCCUUAUGUCCAGGGCUACACACACGCUACAAUGGCCAGUACAAAGGGUAGCGAAGCCGCGAGGUGGAGCGAAUCUCAGCAAAGCUGGUCGUAGUUCGGAUUGCAGGCUGCAACCCGCCUGCAUGAAGCUGGAGUUGCUAGUAACCGCGCGUCAGCUAUAGUGCGGCGAAUACGUUCCCGGGCCUUGUACACACCGCCCGUCACGUCAUGGGAGUCUGUAACGCCUGAAG